rnacentral:rRNA from 1 species
CGAUUUGUAUGGUUUAUUCCGUUAACAAACUGGACACCAGCCUACUAAAUAGUACGUGUUAUGGUAACAUAGUAUGAGACUUCUUAGAGGGACAUUUCGGGUUUACCGAAAGGAAGUUUGUGGCAAUAACAGGUCUGUGAUGCUCUUAGAUGUUCUGGGCCGCACGCGCGCUACACUGACGACUUCAACAAGUUUUUUGGCAUUGCCAAAUUUCCUUGGCCGGAAGGUCUGGGUAAUCUUUUAAAAGGUCGUCGUGAUGGGGCUAGAUUCUUGCAAUUAUUAAUCUCCAACGAGGAACC